GUUCCUUUCUGCUUGCUUAAGAUGAUACCAUCUAUUUAGAAGAUUUUCAUGAAAAAAUAAGAAUAAAAACCAGCAAGGAAACACGUCAGGGAUGUACCCAAUCCUCUAAGUAAACAAGAACAGUCUGGAGACAGACUGAACCUGGAGAAGACCCAGAGGCAUCACUGCAGAGACAGAGAGAAGAUAAAGAAACGAGUAGGGAGGAAACGGGGUGAAGUGUCCCUGGCCUGCUGACAGGGGAGAGCGGGCAGCUCUUAGGAUGCUAGAGCAGGGGUCCGUUGUUGGCUGGAGACUUGAGGUGGCACAGUUUAUUUUCCAGUUGAUUAGGACCUAUGUCAGCCAGCCCAGGAGGAAGCAGUAAAAACCAAGACUUGUCUCUGAGGAUACACCAGGAAUACUUAAUGUGUCUGGCCUGGGGAACCUGGCUGCAUUCCAAUGUGUUCAGCAGCAAGGCAAGAACAAGUUGGUGAGACAGAAAAACUGCUAUGGGGCUCAGAUCUUAGAAUGCAUAAAAUGAUAUAUUGCUGCUGCAACUCGACUAUUUUCUUUCCAAAAUAGGAUCAUCUAUCACCUAGCUAACCCAAAGGCAGAAACACACAUCUGCAUUUGCUACCAGCAAAGGUCACCCAGGGAAACAAAGUACCAUUCCUCAAAGACAGUUUCCUCCUCUGUCGCUGGAGUUUCAGAAGCCAAGCAAGAGGUUGUGUCAAGAUGUGAGCUCUCAGCUACUGCUCCAGCAUCAAUGCCUGCCUGCCUGCUCCCAUGCUCCGCUCCAUGAUGGUCAUGGUCUCUAACCCUUUGGAACACCCUUCUCUGGUGAACAGUAGGAGUUUGGUCAAGUAUGGGGGUAGGCAUUCAAGUGUCAUCUAGGCACCAGGCUGGGAGAUCCAUCAACUGAAGACAGGCACCCCACUGAAGUCCCGUAUGUCCCCAACCUACCAUGUGUGGGAGGACUUGGAGCUUGGUCCUCAAAGGUGAGAUACUAGAUGAUUACCAAGGGCACAACAGAAUGGACUUUAGAUAACUGGCUAGUGUCAUUCUACUCAGAGUUCCCUCAAAUUCAAACAAAAGGCUCCGCUGCAAACUGCUCUGUAGACCUCUUCGAAGGAUGAAAACAGCCUAUAUCUGUUGUUUGAGA